rnacentral:lncRNA from 1 species
AAGAAAGAAGAAGAAGAAGAGGAGGAGGAGGAGGAGGAGGAGGAGGAGGCUGGAAGAUGAGAUGGGAUUACUAACUCUAUGAAGCAAAGGCACAGAGGUGCUAGGUUGGCCAGGAACUUGUUCUCCAUUUCCAGAAGCUUCCCAAGUUCUCAUACCCCCGGAUCUCCAAAGUCAACAGAGGGGAGAAAGCAAAAUGAGACAGCUGUUGUGGAGCACAUACAAGGACACAUGUGACUAAAUCCUUCCUCACACACAAGGCCCAGCCCAACAGUGGUGAGUUAUCUACUCACCUUCACACUGGGGACAGGAAGAAGUGGUAGUGCAGAAACCAGUCAGGAGUCGAGGUC